GGGGAAAUACCGUGGUCACAAAGGUGGUUUUCCCAGGGUCAGGCUCAUCCAUUGUACUGCGAGUUUGCUGAUCCCUGUGAUUUCCCCAAAUGCAUGAAACUCGAC
ensembl:snRNA U1 U1 spliceosomal RNA